rnacentral:misc_RNA from 1 species
GAUGAAGAACGUAGCGAAAUGCGAUACGUAAUGUGAAUUGCAGAAUUCAGUGAAUCAUCGAGCCUUUGAACGCACAUUGCGCCCCCUGGUAUUCCGGGGGGCAUGCCUGUCCGAGCGUCAUUGCUGCCCUCAAGCACGGCUUGUGUGUUGGGCCUCCGUCCUCCUCCCGGGGGACGGGCCCGAAAGGCAGCGGCGGCACCGCGUCCGGUCCUCGAGCGUAUGGGGCUUCGUCACCCGCUCUUGUAGGCCCGGCCGGCGCUUGCCGACACAUCAAUCUUUUUUCCAGGUUGACCUCGGAUCAGGUAGGGAUACCCGCUGAACUUAAGCAUAUCAAUAAGCGGAGGA